GAUGAACGCUGGCGGCGUGCCUAAUACAUGCAAGUCGAGCGAACGGACGAGAAGCUUGCUUCUCUGAUGUUAGCGGCGGACGUGUGUGUUACACGUGUAUAACCUACCUAUAAGACUGGGAUCACUUCGGGAAACCGUAGCUAAUACCUGAUAAUUUUUUGUACCUCAUGGUUCAAUUCUGAUAUACGGUCUUUCUUUCUCUUAUUGAUUGAUCCGCUCUUCAUUAGCUAGUUGGUAAGGUAACGGCUUACCAAGGCAACGAUGAAUAGCGGACCUGAGAGGGGGAGCGGCAAAACGGGAACUGAGACACGGACCAGACGCCGACGGGAGGCAGCAGUAGGGAAUCUUGGGCAAUGGGCGAAAGCCUGACGGAGUAACGCCGCGUGAGUGAUGAAGGUCUUCGGAUCGUAAAACUCUGUUAUUAGGGAAGAAAAUAUGGGUAAGAAAAUGUGCAGAGAAUGACGGUACCGAAUCAGAAAGCAACGGCUAACUACGUG
rnacentral:rRNA from 1 species